AAGUCCUAGGUUCGCAUGGUUGCUUAC
rnacentral:sRNA from 1 species